AUGACCCCUUUACCACUGUUACUGCUGCUGGCAGCUGCAUCUUGUGUCCACUCUGAUGAGCUGAUUCAGCCUGACUUUCAGACUGUUCGUCCAGGUCAGCAAAUGACCAUCAACUGCAAAGUCUCAUAUUCUGUUACUAGCAAAGCUACAGCUUGGAUUAGACAACCAGCAGGAAAAGCUCUGGAGUAUAUAGGAUUGGUCAGCAGUGGUGGGAGCUUAGACUACAAAGAGUCUCUGAAAAACAAGUUCAGCAUCUCAAGAGACACCAGCAGUAAAACAAUAACAUUACAAGGGAAUAAUCUGCAGACCGAAGACACAGCUGUGUAUUACUGUGCCCGUUACACACAAUGUUUCCAUCUGGUAGAGGAGCUGUGUAAGUUUAAUGAUGCUAUGCCUGACAGCUUUGCACAUCAGGCACUGGAUCUCCCAGAAACCAGGGAAAGCAGUGGAGUUGACUGGGAAAAAAUGUAUUUAUCAAGCAGAAUCCCAGAAAAGCCAGCUCACCCUUACUGA